GCUCGGGUGGGGAAAUUGGUAGACCCAGUACCUUGAGGUGGUACCGUCGCAAGACAUGCUGGUUCAAAUCCAGUCCCGAGCA
rnacentral:tRNA from 1 species